AUGUGAGGGCGAUCUGGCCGUGACACCUGUCACCCCACUGAUCGCCAGGGCUGAUUCGGUUAUCUGGCUGACCAGGUGGGGUCCCUUCCUUCCUCAGAGUU
ensembl:misc_RNA 7SK 7SK RNA